GAUGUAACGACUAUCUAAUAUUCUUUAACAAUUUAACGUUAAUAACAACCAUUAUAUGUAUUUAAAAUCACUAAUUUCAUGUCUGCAUUAUAGUAUUUUUAUUGACAAUAACGUUGUUUUACACUUUGACUAAUAUUUAUAUUAGAUAAAUAUAAUAUAUAGUUUGAUAAAUACUAUAGUAUGUAUCAAUAAGGUCAACCAGCUAUAUAAACGAUAAAAGACGUUUAAACAUCAUUAAGAUACUUAAAUAAAAUACCAGUGUGUAAGUGUUAUUAAUAUAAAAAAAAACGGCAUAAAAGCUACUGUAUCACUACUAUUAUUCAAUAUUGAUUAUGUUUAAAAACAAAUAAUGUUUCAAAGUUUGUUUUUUUUCCAAAUUUGCCAAGUAGUAAUUAUUUCUUUUAUUCUUUUGUUUUGAAGUUAAAAGUAAAGUGACCUAAACCAAACAAAUGAAAAAUUUAAAUACACAUAAUUUGGUAAGAUAUGCAAUGGUUUUAUUUUAUUUUAAUAUAUCUCAUCGAUGUGUGAAUGAACCAACGUCAAUACAGGAAAGACCCUGAAGAAGACAAAUUACUUUGGAUGACGGAUCUUAUCAUCGUUCUGUAGAUGUCAUUGUAAGAACGGGCAUAAAGAACAUUACCGUCAUCAAUUGAUUCAAUAGGAAAAUGGACAAUACAGAACGAGAACUUAUAUGCUUUAUUGCCGACUUUCCCUCAGAAAACUGAGCUAUCCAAAUCAAGAAAGAAUAAAAAAAACUGUUCUAUAAUAGGGAAUAAGAUUGACAACGACAAAAGUAAUACUCUGAGGAAAAAAGUGAGCCAUGCUGAAUUAUAUUAAUUUGCUGAAAGAAAAACAAAACGGAAAACAUUGACGGCAUCCAUUUAUAAUCAACGUUUUAAAGUUUCAGCAACGACCUAAACCACAUCACUUCUUCAAUCAAUAUAUAAUAUCGACGUAGUGGCAUUUAAGUCUGUUUUUUCCUGUUGCCUAGUUGUCGAAUACUUCUUCAUUAAACUUCAACCAUAUGCAAACUCCAAUUGCAAACGCAGUCACCUUAAAUAUCAGACAGCACAGCCGCAGAUAAUGUAUAUCACAGCAACACCGAUAGUCAUAGAAGAAGGCCAACCCGAAACAAUACAAGAUCUUGUCAACCACUUGACUGUAAAAUAGUGAUAUAAUAUAUAACAAUGGCCUCUGACCAUCGACUUCUCGAUGUCAGUGUCUCCUUUGGUGGUUUAAAUUUUGUCUUUUUAUUCUGAUCAUCUUUCAUAUUCGUUCAUUGAUUCGUCAUACAUUCCAUUCCUUUUAAAUGGCAUGCGGCAAAAUCUCAAACAACAAUGCAAGGAAACAAAGACUUAUCAAUUAACUGAUGCGUUUUGAAUGCCAAACAAACUAAUAUCCUGAAAUUAGAAACGUUACUUACUAGUUUUUUGAAAACAAACCAGUGGCAAGGGGUAAAAAAGACGAUAAUAAGCAAACAAAGUACCAUAAAAGUUUGCCAAAACAGUCUGCCAACUGUACUGGUAGUACGACUUGUUACAGCUGUUGUACAUUGGGUGUAACUAUUUUGUAUAAAGUUUAGUCCUCAAUUUAGAAAAUAGUUUAAAUAUCUGCAGAUGCCACUCUUUAAGUCGUUACAAUGAUUAACUGUUUUUAUUGAUUGUUUAAAAUUAAUUGUUUACCGUCAUUAAAUCAAAAGUAUUAAUAGAUUUUUUUUCCAAAAUGUCAACGGCAAAUUCAUACCAGUAUUUUUAUUUUGAACAAUUAAUUUUCCAUGAUUUUGUUUACUUGGAAAGUUAAACAGUAAAGAAUUGGUGUAAAUAAAAUCUCUCUAAAGAAACAAGA